rnacentral:lncRNA from 1 species
AAAAAAGAAACUGGAGAGCACUCUACUGGGUUGGCCCAUGCUAGCAGCGCUACAUGCGCUGGAUCGUGAACGGUCACCCGCAGCGCUGCAUAGAAACUCCCCGCGCACGUUUGCCUAUGUGCAUCUUCCUCUCCCUUCAUCUUCAUCGUCGACCCGAUCGCUCGGUUGCGAAGCCUCUGUCGGGUCCCACCAUCAUCGUCCAUCCGUGGAGGCAGCGUCAGUCUUCUUCUCACCUGCCUCCUCCUCCAGGCUCCCGUCCUGCCUCCCGCUCAUGGUAAUCAGCCGUUCCCCUUUUCACCUUCCCCCAAUCUGUGACGACCCAAGGGGAUCGCUUGGAUCAUAUACUAGGAAGGGGAUGAGAUCUUGAGACGAAGGGGUAUCAGAUUAACAUGCAGAGGAGGAAAGGUCCUCUUCAGUACAGGGGGAGGUUCAGAAAGUACAUUCACAAACACGCAGGAGCUGCUUAUAACCCACGCAAACCCUGGCCUCUGGCCCUCUGCUGGCUUGGCCUUGCGAUGGCUUGUCCCUGGUGCCUGUUGUGGUAGUUAGGAGUGGCCAAAUGAUUUGCAGUUUGUUUGGUAUAUGAUUGAAAUAAACAGGUAAUCUCCAUGUCCCUGAAAGAAAAUAAUUAUAAUCUCUAUGAAUGUCUAUAUUUAAAAAUGCAGUUGCAUUUUAGUGGUUUUUGGUUGAAGUAUGUAAAGGUCUACAAUCCACUCUUUUGCAACUAUACUAUCUAUUUUCUCAUUGUUUUAGAGGAUUUCCUUAAAGGGGCUUCUCUCAUUUAUUCUACCCAUUUUCUCUCUUCAACUACUCUUUUU